GUCUCUGCAGCUCUGGAAUGUUCUUGCAUGGUGGUUAUCACUUCUGGAGGAAAGAGGUGACAGAAGCCCCUUUAAAUGAAAUAUCAGGAUUCUCAUUAGUGGCAUCUCUAGGGUAUUUCCUAGGCCAUUUCUCUCCCAGGACAGCCUUUGGAGCAGCCCCUGUCAGACAGGACGUAUGGUCUCCAACACACAGUGCUUUUAAGGCCAGAGAAAGCAGGAUCAUUUACCGUGUUGUUCCAGUGGCAUUUAUUGAAAUUUGCACAAAAAAAGGAUCUUUCUUCAAUGGCACUACUUCAAGCCAUGCAAAAGAUUUAUGGGUACAGGAAGACAUCCAUGGCAGGGAUUCACUGGCAGAAAGGAAGGAGAGAAAGAAGAGGAAACAUGCUGGAAAAGUAGAGGACAUCUUGAGAGAUGAAUGGAGAGAAGCCAGGCACCGCUGGGGCAAAAGGCUGAGCAUGGGAUUUGGCUGGCAGAAGAAAUGUGCUCCUCUACAUGGCGACACACUCAGUCAUGCAAGGGCAAGGUCACGCUCAUGGGUGUGGACAUGAGUAUGGAUGUGGGCAUGGGUAUGUAUGGACAUGGCCAUGGGUAUCGACACGGGCAUGGAAAGGCACUGGCAUGUUGGCAGGAGCAGAGCAGGCAGCACAGACACCCUUGUGUGCCUUCCAACACACGUGGGUUCAUGGAGGUCUUGUUGGGGACGGAGCUGCUGGAGGGUCCCUGUGUGUGUGAUGCCCACAUGGAGCCCCCAUCCCAGCUGCAGGGGUUGGCCUGGAGAAGUGGCUCUUGGGG